rnacentral:rRNA from 1 species
UACGUAGGGGGGCAAGCGUUGUCCGGAAUCAUUGGGCGUAAAGAGCGUGUAGGCGGCCUGGUAAGUCCGCUGUGAAAGUCCAGGGCUCAACCCUGGAAUGCCGGUGGAAACUGUCAGGCUCGAGUCCGGAAGAGGCGAGUGGAAUUCCUGGUGUAGCGGUGAAAUGCGCAGAUAUCAGGAGGAACACCAAUGGCGAAGGCAGCUCGCUGGGACGGUACUGACGCUGAGGAGCGAAAGCGUGGGGAGCGAACAGG